GCGCCAGUGGUGUAAUGGCGUAGAGCAUUCCCGCCAGGUUAGAGGGAGGUGCGGGUUCGAGUCCCGCCUGGCGCU
rnacentral:tRNA from 1 species